GGACGGGUGAGUAACACGUGGGUAACCUACCUAUAAGACUGGGAUAACUUCGGGAAACCGGAGCUAAUACCGGAUAAUAUUUCGAACCGCAUGGUUCGAAAUUGAAAGGUGGCUUCGGCUGUCACUUAUGGAUGGAUCCGCGCCGCAUUAGCUAGUUGGUAAGGUAACGGCUUACCAAGGCGACGAUACGUAGCCGACCUGAGAGGGUGAUCGGCCACACUGGAACUGAGACACGGUCCAGACUCCUACGGGAGGCAGCA
rnacentral:rRNA from 1 species